rnacentral:rRNA from 1 species
AACGAACGCUGGCGGCAUGCCUAACACAUGCAAGUCGAACGAGACCUUCGGGUCUAGUGGCGCACGGGUGCGUAACGCGUGGGAACCUGCCCUUAGGUUCGGAAUAACUCCCCGAAAGGGGUGCUAAUACCGGAUAAUGUCUUCGGACCAAAGAUUUAUCGCCUUUGGAUGGGCCCGCGUUGGAUUAGCUAGUUGGUAGGGUAAAAGCCUACCAAGGCGACGAUCCAUAGCUGGUCUGAGAGGAUGAUCAGCCACACUGGGACUGAGACACGGCCCAGACUCCUACGGGAGGCAGCAGUGGGGAAUAUUGGACCAUGGGCGAAAGCCUGAUCCAGCAAUGCCGCGUGAAUGAUGAAGGCCUUAGGGUUGUAAAGCUCUUUUACCCGGGAUGAUAAUGACAGUACCGGGAGAAUAAGCUCCGGCUAACUCCGUG